rnacentral:rRNA from 1 species
GACGAACGCUGGCGGCGUGCUUAACACAUGCAAGUCGAACGAUGAACCCGGAGCUUGCUCCGGUGGAUUAGUGGCGAACGGGUGAGUAACACGUGAGUAACCUGCCCUUGACUCUGGGAUAACUGCGGGAAACUGUAGCUAAUACCGGAUACGACCCUCGGCGGCAUCGCCAGGGGGUGGAAAGAAUUUCGGUCAAGGAUGGACUCGCGGCCUAUCAGCUAGUUGGUGAGGUAACGGCUCACCAAGGCGACGACGGGUAGCCGGCCUGAGAGGGUGACCGGCCACACUGGGACUGAGACACGGCCCAGACUCCUACGGGAGGCAGCAGUGGGGAAUAUUGCACAAUGGGCGCAAGCCUGAUGCAGCAACGCCGCGUGCGGGAUGACGGCCUUCGGGUUGUAAACCGCUUUUAGUAAGGAAGAAGGGGCUUCGGCCUUGACGGUACUUGCAGAAAAAGGACCGGCUAACUACGUGCCAGCCGCCGCCGUAA